ACACCCGGAAGUGUUUUAUGUUAGUUUCAUUAUUAUGUAUAUUUCUGUUAGGGAAGCCCGUGGAAAAUACGUGUUAGAAUAUGUUUUCAGUACCCUUAGCUUGUCAUAAGAGGCGGCUAAAUGGAGCGUCCUUCAGAUGAGACCGCAAAAAACCGAGGCUGAUCCGUGUCGCAGCAGGUGUGGCACGAUCAAGAUUCCGCCUUACGCGCUUAUCAUAGGCCUAAAUUUUGCCGCCCUUCACCAGCAAUGGCGACAUCUCCAUAUGAGUUGAACAUUCUCGAGUGGGACGAUGGAUGUUGAAAGACGACUAGAACGGUGGACUUGUUGUAUUUGUCACCAAAGAGCUCCACUCCAUUCUCUAGCAUCAUUAGAAGGGCAAGAAAAUUCCAAAAAAAAAACCAAAAAAAAAAAACCGAAAUAUAUAUAGACAGAGAUUAUAGAAUCUACCUGCAGAGUGUAGUUUUUGCUUUCAUGCCAGUUGUGCCGAAUACGAACUUGAACUCUUUCUAACCAGGGAACUCGUUGGAACAUUGUGUGAAAAGUGUGCAUGUGCAAAAAACUAAGAUGUCUACAUCAAAGGUUAUGUCUGUUACUGUCACAACAAAUGGUGUUGCUACUAAAAUGUCAUGUACUCGAGAAGUUGCAAACAUGCUGAUGUCCAAGGAAAUAGAUUCAAUGGUAAAAGAAAUUAUCGUAAAUGAACUUCUAUCUCCACCCACAUUGCCAUCUGCAAGACAGUCACCACCAUUGCCUGGUCCUUCUUAACCACCAUUGCCUGGUCCUUCAUCACCACCAUUGCCUGGUCCUUCAUCACCACCAUUGCCUGGUCCUUCAUCACCACCAUUGCCUGGUCCUUCUUAACCACCAUUGCCUGGUCCUUCAUCACUACCAUUGCCUGGUCCUUCAUUACUACCAUUGCCUGGUCCUUCAUCACCACCAUUGCCUGGUCCUUCUUAACCACCAUUGUCUGGUCCUUCAUCACCACUAUUGCCUGGUCCUUCAUCACUACCAUUGCCUGGUCCUUCAUCACCACCAUUGCCUGGUCCUUCAUCACCACCAUUGCCUGGUCCUUCAUCACCACCAUUGCCUGGUCCUUCAGCAGUACAGGAGGAAGAUACAAAUCCAGUCAGGAGCGGACUUCCUUAAGCUUAAAAGUUACAAGUGAAUGAAGUGUGUUCUAUUUUAAGUCUCCUACUAAAACCAUGGUUUUGACAAACCUAGAAGAGCACGUGGAGCAAGGAACUAUCAGUAAGCCGGAAGAGCCAGCUCGAAAAUCUUUAAGUGUUUGAGAAUUUCACCGCGCACAUGAAUCUAAAGUUCUGCCACACGUUAGAAUGAGCCUUGUUCUCGAAGAUCAACAUGUUGAAAAGUCUUCAUUUUGCAGAAGCAAAUACAUUUAUAUUGUAUAUACACGUGUAGACCAUGUUCGAUUCCCAACUACUUAAAAUUUGUGAUAUCUGCAUGAAAUUAUUAAAACUAAGCAUGGUUUGACAUAUAAUAAUCUCUUUAGGCACGAUGGUUUACAUUUCACAAAGCUGUUCAAUGACAAUAAAGACAAUAAGAUGU